AAAGAAAAUAACAAUGAUUCCCCUAGUAACUGCGAGUGAAGAGGGACAAGCUCAAAUUUUAAAUCUGUUCGGUUGGUACCUGACAGAGUUGUAAUUUAAAGAGACGUUUUCUGUGUCUUGAGUUAAUCAAAAUCCUUUGGAAUGAGGUAUCAUGGAGGGUGACAAUCCCGUUCAUGGUUAAUUCUAAGAUGCUUUAUGAUACGUCCUCGAAGAGUCGAGUUGUUUGGGAUUGCAGCUCAAAAUGGGAGGUAAAUUUCUCCUAAGGCUAAAUAUUGGCGAGAGACCGAUAGCGAACAAGUACCGUGAGGGAAAGAUGAAAAGAACUUUGAAAAGAGAGUUAAACAGUACGUGAAAUUGUUGAAAGGGAAACGAUUGAAGUCAGUCGUACCAGCGGGAAAUCAACCUUUCGAGUGGGGGUUUUGGAGUUUUGAAGUGUGUCAAAACCUUUGAGAUUUCAAAAUUUUCGCUCCUUUGGUGUACUUUCUCGUGGGUAGGUUAACAUCGAUUUCGAUCAUCAUAAAAGGAUUGGAGGAAUGUAGCUUCGAUCUUGUAUUGAAGUGUUAUAGCCUUUGGUAAAUGUGAUGAUUGGGAUCGAGGAUUGCAACGAAUACCCUUUUGGGCUAUCCGCCUGAUCUCUGAUACGUGGCCUUGGCAUCGAAAGCUUGCUUAUGGUAUCAAGGUAUUACGGUCAAAAGGUUAGAACGGAUUACAUUCGUUAAGGAUGUUG
rnacentral:rRNA from 1 species